rnacentral:rRNA from 1 species
GCCUAUAUGAAGUCGGAAUUGCUAGUAAUCGCGGAUCAGCAUGCCGCGGUGAAUACGUUCCCGGGCCUUGUACACACCGCCCGUCACACCAUGAGAGUCGAUAACACCCGAAGCCUGUAGUCUAACCUUAGGGGGGACGCAGUCGAAGGUGGGAUUGAUAAUUAGGGUGAAGUCGUAACAAGGUAAC